rnacentral:rRNA from 1 species
UACGUAGGGUGCGAGCGUUGUCCGGAAUUACUGGGCGUAAAGAGCUUGUAGGUGGUUUGUCGCGUUGUUCGUGAAAACUCACAGCUCAACUGUGGGCGUGCGGGCGAUACGGGCAGACUAGAGUACUGCAGGGGAGACUGGAAUUCCUGGUGUAGCGGUGGAAUGCGCAGAUAUCAGGAGGAACACCGGUGGCGAAGGCGGGUCUCUGGGCAGUAACUGACGCUGGAGAAGCGAAAGCCGUGGGGAGCGAACAGG